ACGGCGUCGGCUGCUCAGUGGAGGAGAUUCGAACCCGGAGCUCAGUCCGUCCCUUGCCCUCUCCCCUAAGAUUUCAAGAGUACGUCAGUGUUCGUCUCUCCGUGGAGGAAACCGGGACAGGAAGCUCCGUCCGUCCUUUCUCUCCCUAAAUGGUGGUGCAGCAGUGUGCUGGGAGAAUAACUACUCGCCUACAGACUCUUCUCCUGUUCUCCUGUGUUUGGUCCUGAUGAAAGGGACGGUCGUCGGGUGGUCCAGACGUGGUCGUGAGCUGCAGCCCUUGGCGCUGACUGUAGAUGUCCAUCGCUCUACAGAUGCCACAUUAAAGCUCCUGAGUUCAAGCCAUGAUGAUGCCAAAGCUGUCUGAGACGAGUCCAACACUGACAUUUCAGGAUGUGGAAUCUGAUUUAUGUGGCCACUGAUGCUACAUGAACUUUAGAUCAAUGCAAAAGACGAUUAAAAACCUUUAUCACCUCAGUACUGAGCCCUUAA